GAGUUUGGAUCAUGGCUCAAAUUGAACGCUGGCGGCAUGCCUUACACAUGCAAGUCGAACGGCAGCACGGGAGCUUGCUCCUGGUGGCGAGUGGCGAACGGGUGAGUAAAGCAUCGGAACGUACCUUGUCGAGGGGGAUAACGCAGCGAAGUUGUGCUAAUACCGCACACGUCCUGAGGGAGAAAGCGGGGGACCGCAAGGCCUCGCGCGAUGAGAGCGGCCGAUGUCAGAUUAGCUAGUUGGUGAGGUAAAGGCUCACCAAGGCGACGAUCUGUAGCGGGUCUGAGAGGAUGAUCCGCCACACUGGGACUGAGACACGGCCCAGACUCCUACGGGAGGCAGCAGUGGGGAAUUUUGGACAAUGGGGGAAACCCUGAUCCAGCCAUGCCGCGUGAGUGAAGAAGGCCUUCGGGUUGUAAAGCUCUUUCGGCCGGGAAAAAAUUGCACGGAUGAACAGUCUGUGUAGAUGAUGGUACCGGACUAAGAAGCACCGGCUAACUACGUGCCAGCAG
rnacentral:rRNA from 1 species